rnacentral:rRNA from 1 species
AGUAACGCGUGAGCAACCUGCCUAUGACAGUGGGAUAGCCUCGGGAAACCGGGAUUAAUACCGCAUAAAAUCGUAGAAACACAUGUUUUAACGGUCAAAGAUUUAUCGGUCAUAGAUGGGCUCGCGUCUGAUUAGCUAGUUGGUGAGAUAACAGCCCACCAAGGCGACGAUCAGUAGCCGGUCUGAGAGGAUGAACGGCCACAUUGGAACUGAGACACGGUCCAA